rnacentral:ribozyme from 1 species
GGCCGUCAGCCAUCGGGUGCUACAGGGGGACAAACGGAUGACGGGUCGGCUCGCACAACUGUGAACUCGGAACCCGCCGUAACUGUACACACCGGUGGAAGUGCGACUAUACUCUCCCCGUGAGGGCGGCUGGAAACAGGUCCUGGCACGGUCAUGUCUCUGCCAGGAUUCUGGCGAAUGGUAGUCG